rnacentral:rRNA from 1 species
UACGAAGGGUGCAAGCGUUAAUCGGAAUUACUGGGCGUAAAGCGUGCGUAGGCGGUCUUUUAAGUCUGCUGUGAAAUCCCCGGGCUCAACCUGGGAAUGGCAGUGGAUACUGGGAGGCUAGAGUGUGUCAGAGGAUGGUGGAAUUCCCGGUGUAGCGGUGAAAUGCGUAGAGAUCGGGAGGAACAUCAGUGGCGAAAGCGGCUCACUGGACCAUUACUGACGCUUGAUGCACGAAAGCUAGGGGAGCAAACAGG